UCCUGUGGUCUAAUGCCAUUUCAUAGUCCUGCAGAAACUCUAGGUUUUUAUGUACUCUAGGUUCUUAUGUAUUUUUCACUGACAAAUCUUAUGUUGGAAACUAGUUGACUUGGCAAUCCAUUGUAGUUUCAGGUGUUGAGACUGGAAACGAGUACAGGAAUUUAAAGCAAGAAGUUUCUGAAGAAAUGGAACCAUAUGAGAAUAUGUCUAGAUUUGAAAGUGAAGUGUCCCAGCCCGCUCGGUGCAGAAAAGCUGAUGAAUCUGAAGCAAAAACAGAAGAAUUAUCUGGACACUCCAGGAAAGGUGAACAAUCUACAGGUGAUGAAAACAGAGUCAGUCUGACUGAACAGCAGAGGGUCUGUCUGGGAGAAAAACCUCACGAGUGCAAGGAGUGUGGGAAAGCCUUUAGUCAGCACUCGCGUCUUAUAGAACAUGAGAGGGUCCAUACUGGAGACAGGCCCUACAAAUGCGAGGAAUGUGGAAAAACUUUCCGUGGGAGAACUGUGCUUAUUCGGCACAAAAUAAUACACACCGGAGAGAAACCAUAUAAAUGUAAUGAGUGUGGCAAAGCCUUUGGCCGGUGGUCAGCUCUUAACCAACAUCAGAGACUUCACACAGGAGAGAAGCACUACCACUGUAAUGAGUGCAGCAAAGCCUUUAGCCAGAAAGCAGGCCUCUUUCACCAUCUCAAGAUCCACACAAGAGACAAACCGUACCACUGUACUCAGUGUAACAAAAGUUUCAGUCGGCGCUCCAUACUUACUCAGCAUCAAGGAGUUCACACUGGGGCAAAGCCCUAUGAGUGCAGCGAGUGUGGAAAAGCCUUUGUUUAUAACUCAUCCCUUGUUUCCCACCAGGAGAUCCACCACAAAGAAAAGUGCCAUCAGUGUAAGGAAUGUGGGAAAUCCUUCAGUCAGAGUGGCCUUGUUCAGCAUCAGAGGAUCCACAUUGGGGAGAAACCUUACAAGUGUGACGUAUGUGGAAAAGCCUUUAUUCAGAGGACGAGUCUUAUAGAACAUCAGCGAAUUCACACUGGGGAGAGACCCUAUAAAUGUGAUAAGUGCGGGAAGGCUUUCACUCAGAGAUCUGUCCUCACGGAACAUCAGAGAAUCCAUACUGGAGAGAGGCCCUACAAGUGCGAUGAGUGUGGGAAUGCCUUCCGUGGAAUCACCAGCCUCAUUCAGCAUCAGAGAAUCCACACUGGGGAGAAACCCUACCAAUGUGAUGAAUGUGGCAAAGCCUUCAGACAGAGGUCAGAUCUUAGUAAACACCAGAGAAUCCAUACUAGAGGUGGUCCCUGUAAAGAGUGUGGGGAAUCGUUCAGGCAGACCUCAGCUCUCAUUCAACAUCAGACUAUCCACAGAGGAGAAAAGCCUGUUUCUCUGUGAUGGCUACAGGGAAGCUGUGUCACAGAGUGCGGGCUGGAGAGAAGUCCCGGCUUUGAAGUCAUUUAGGGAAAAUGCCAGUCACUGUUGCUAUAAGGAAACCUCAGCUAUUUCAUAAAGAAUUCCCUGUGUGCUGCCCGUUCUGUCAGGUGCUGUGGAGAUCAAGAAGCAUAACACCAAAUUCCUCUUCUCCGAAGUUUACAGUUUAGUUGGGGAUAGCUAAAUACCACGUGUGAGGUUAGGUGAGACUGCAGGGGGACAGGAGAAUUGAUGGCGCGAGUCCUGUGUCUUGGAAGUGGCUUGUGGCGCACAGUAAGUGCUGUCCAUCUGGGAGGACGGACCACCGACGCCUCGGGGUCAGGAAAGAGCUUACGAAAAGGGUUGGGUGGGCAGAAUUGGAAGGCAAAAUGGAAAGCAUUUAGGGUGAAGGAAAUGCAGGCCGAGUGCUCGUGGUUUGGCGGCGUCCGAGCCGACCUGAGGUCGAGGGUCCGUCCGGUUGGGCGGGUGAUGGCGGUAGGCUGGCUACAGAGCUUGGGGACAGACUGCGGGAGGGUGCGCGUGCCUCUUAGCACUUUUCUGGCUUCGUUCCUAAAAUCUCUCUGUAAAUUGAAAUCACUGUCCAUUGGAAAGGUGAGGACUCUUGCAGGUGGAGAUGGUGACAUGGCUACCAUGUCACACAAGGGAAAGACCAGCCCCUGAAGAGUAGGUCUCUGACUUCAAGUCCUGUCCGUUGCUCUGGGGAUCCCUCCACUUCACUGAGCAUCAGAAUUGCGUGUGGAGCUCGUUUAAAAUGCCCACGUCCCACUCACGGACCUUCUGCCUCGUUAAGUCUGGGAUGGGGGCCGGGAAUCUUCAUGUUUGUAGCCGGUCACCUGAUGCUGCAAUUUGAGAAGCCGCGCAUUGAGUCCCAGCUGCCUUCAUGGUUGCCUGUGGAGCGUGGACGCGUGCGCGCAGUCCCGUCAACAGGCACUGCUGCUGGUUUAGAGCGGAGGGGAAGCCGACGGAGGAGAGGUGCAACCGGUACUUUAGAGAGAGGCUGAGCGCUGGCCAGCUGCCGGGGCUUCAGGCUGGCCUGCCCACCCCUUCACAUUUAAGGGUGUCAAAAUAGCCUCCUGACCUGCAUUCGAAGGCUGCAGGGGCCAUCUGAGCACAAGGCUGUGUGUGUUGUCAGGGGAGGGUGCUAGUGUCCUCUCCUUGGCUCCUGACCUCUCUUUUCCCCCGAUUACGUAGUUCUCACGUUCUGAAUUCCCCGAUAACUGCUCUUCAGAACUGGUUUACAAUUUUUUUGGUUUGUAUACCUUCUUGAGCCCAUAAAAGAGCCAAAGAUUAGUGACUCUGUCCCUUGGGACUUGUGAAACCAUGAACCGAUAACUGGUUGACUUUACUCCUGUUUUACUGAGUAAACAGUUCGGUCCUAGAUGAGGGCCUGUGAUGAUUAUUGUGGGCAGUCGGCAGCCAGAGAGGCACACAUGGCUCCUGGUCUGUUGAUCUUUUUAUUUACAGAGACUAUUUUUAAUCUUCACUCAGCUGUCCUCCAGUUUCCCUCCCUUGCUACCUUGCCACAGUAGACUCUGCAAUUUCUGGGACUACCUCCCCACCCUACCUCAUCCCACAGGACUCCAGGAUCCUCUCCACCCCUCACCUCUAGCUGGUUAGUGGGUUUGAAGUGGUGAGACAAAAGGGGGAGGGGAGAAAUGGGUAAUUGCCCUCCUUUAACUACUCUUAACUGCCAUUGUAUCCAGCCCUGUGUCUCUAUCCCAUCUCCUCCCUGCUCCUGUAAUGUACUCUGCCCCCUUUCCCUUCGGCCCUUGUCUCCUAUCCCUCUAUCCGUAGCCCUAUCCAGAACAUAAGAGUAUCAGCACGGGCUUGGAACCACAAGGGUUCCUGGAGAAAUAGCUAUGUAACUUUUAAGCUCUAAGUGUGAGCACAUUUUCCCAUAAGAAGAAUAAUGGUAUUAGUACUAUAAUUUAGGCAUAUAAUGACACAUGUGUCAUUUGCUUUUGGGAUUGGAAUUUACAUGACCAUGGGAAAACAUCCUGAGUUCACAAUAGAAGAAAGCAAAUGAACAUUUGAAAAAACAACUCAGAGUCACAAGUUGAGGACUCUCUCUUUAGGUGUUUAUCCUAAGACCAACAUGGGAGCUGCACACAUGAGACACUGAGGCAGCCAGGGUUGGGGAACUAACCUUUUACAUCCAGAAAACAGUUUGUUGCCCCGAGUGAGCCUGAGAGCUUGAGCUGUGUGUUCCUGCUCCCUUCCCCAGCUCACCCUGCCUUGCAUUUCUCACUCUGGCAAGCUCCUCGCUGCUUAGUGAUGAGAACCCGUAUGAGCAUGUCCUCUUCACCAACUAAUGCUAUUCGUGCUUGUCACCUGAUCUGAUGUCAGACACGGUAUCCAAACUGAAGUUACUCUUUGACCUCUCUCGAAUCCUACUGCUCACUGGAACACGAUUCUUACUUUAAACUUGCUUUCUGUUCACAGCGCUGUUACAGGUUAUGCAGUUCAUCUUCUGCUUAACACGUUCUCAACGCAGACGCGUGCCUCCAUUGGCCUCUAACGCCUUUAAUUGCCUAAUAUAAAGGAGCCAUAGAUAGAGACCCAGAACAUCGGGAUAUGCCUGUGAUAUAGCAUACAGUUCAUAACUUGUUUAAAAAUAAAGGAAGAAGACGAGCUACAAGGAAAUACUUCUGAAAAACCGUUGUGAACCCCAGGCUGGCGUGAAUCUUCUCCUGAGUGCU